CACCGCGGUUAAACGGGAGGCUCAAGUUGAUAGACACCGGCGUAAAGCGUGGUUAAGGACCCAACUUUUACACUAAAGCCGAACGCUACCAGAGCAGUGAUACGCACCGAGAGUAAGAAGAUCAAUUACGAAAGUAGCUUUAUUUAAACCUGACCCCACGAAAGCUAAGGCA
rnacentral:rRNA from 1 species